GGGUUGUGAGGUUAAGCGACUAAGCGUACACGGUGGAUGCCCUGGCAGUCAGAGGCGAUGAAGGACGUGCUAAUCUGCGAAAAGCGUCGGUAAGGUGAUAUGAACCGUUAUAACCGGCGAUGUCCGAAUGGGGAAACCCAGUGCAAUUCGUUGCACUAUCGUUAACUGAAUACAUAGGUUAACGAGGCGAACCGGGGGAACUGAAACAUCUAAGUACCCCGAGGAAAAGAAAUCAACCGAGAUUCCCCCAGUAGCGGCGAGCGAACGGGGAGCAGCCCAGAGUCUGAAUCAGCUUGUGUGUUAGUGGAACGGUCUGGAAAGUCCGACGGUACAGGGUGAUAGUCCCGUACACCAAAAUGCACAGGCUGUGAACUCGAAGAGUAGGGCGGGACACGUGGUAUCCUGUCUGAAUAUGGGGGGACCAUCCUGCGAGGCUAAAUCGUCCUGACGGACCGAUAGUGAACCAGUACCUGUCGGAGAGGCCGAAAAGAACACCGGCGUGGGGAGGGAAAACGAACGUGAAAC
rnacentral:rRNA from 1 species